UUUUUUAAGAUUUUAUUUAUUUAUUCAUGAGAGACAGAGAGAGAGAGAGAGAGGCAGAGGGAGAAGCAGGCCCCCAAGGAGCAGGGAGCCUGAUGCGGGACUCGAUCCCAGGACCCUGGGACCAUGACCUGAGCCAAAGGCAGAUGCUUAACCAUCUGAGCCACCCAGGCGCCCUGCAUGGCUUUAUUUCUAUAUAAAGAUUAAAGGUGGAAUCCAUAUGUGAUGGCAAGAACAGUAGCAGCCACCUUGGAGUCAAAGAUGGAUGUCAUGUCUGGACGAUGAUAGCAUCAACUUAUCUUUGAUCUGUUACAAGAUCUUUCACAUCGGAGCAUAUUUACUUGCCUCAUUAUUUUUGAUACGUAUUACUCCAUGGUAUGUGAAGUGAGAGACUAUCUCAUUCCAGUAACUCAGGUUCCUUUAGGAGCGUUGAUUCAGAGUUCCAGCUGUUACCCUGCCCUGAACAUCAUGGUCGGUCAAGAACACUCUAAGUCUAGCCAGACUGCCCACAGAAGAGGUUUGUGUUUUUUGUUUUUCUCUUGGGGGUGGGGCUUCAUCACCUC
rnacentral:lncRNA from 1 species